rnacentral:rRNA from 1 species
UACGUAGGGGGCAAGCGUUGUCCGGAAUCAUUGGGCGUAAAGCGCGUGUAGGCGGCCAGAUAAGUCCGUUCUGAAAGCCCCGGGCUCAACCUGGGAAUUGCAUUUGAGACUGCGUAGCUAGGGUGCGGAAGAGGGAAGCGGAAUUUCCGGUGUAGCGGUGAAAUGCGUAGAUAUCGGAAGGAACACCAGUGGCGAAAGCGGCUUCCUGGUCCAGCACCGACGUUCAGGCACGAAAGCGUGGGGAGCAAACAGG